ncrna:unclassified sequences RAGATH-18 RNA
GCUGUGGAGAGCAAAAACAAAUACAAGUAGAUAUUUUAUCAAAAGUAUGUUCGUUGAAUCAGCAA